rnacentral:rRNA from 1 species
GCUUAUUGACGGGUAUCCGGCCUGAGAGGGUGAACGGACACACUGGAACUGAGACACGGUCCAGACUCCUACGGGAGGCAGCAGUAGGGAAUAUUGCUCAAUGGGGGAAACCCUGAAGCAGCAACGCCGCGUGGAGGAUGAAGGUUUUAGGAUUGUAAACUCCUUUUGUUAGAGAAGAUAAUGACGGUAUCUAACGAAUAAGCACCGGCUAACUCCGUGCCAGCAGCCGCGGUAAUACGGAGGGUGCAAGCGUUACUCGGAAUCACUGGGCGUAAAGAGCGCGUAGGCGGGAUAGUCAGUCGAGGUGUGAAAUCCUAUGGCUUAACCAUAGAACUGCAUUUGAAACUACUAUUCUAGAGUGUGGGAGAGGUAGGUGGAAUUCUUGGUGUAGGGGUA